rnacentral:lncRNA from 1 species
AUGUGCUCUUUUCCAACGGGGAGCAUCUACCAGAAUAGCCGUCCUUUACUCAAAUCAAACUUGCAGAUGUGUUUUUCGGUUGGUAUAGAUGACUCCAGUCUCUCCUGUGGACCAGAGCAGGCCAUUCUGUGCCCAGUAAGGAGCCACUGCUCGAGGCGAGACGUCAGCGAACUUUUUCUUAAAGGACCUGACGGAAAUUGUUCGGGUCUUCCGGGCCUCCUGCUCUGCCACAGCUCCAUCAAUAACACAGAAACAAAGACAACAAGAAAAGGGCUGAAUGUGGCCAUGUGCCAACAAAACUCUAUCUAAGAACACUGAGAUACUUUACAUAUUGUGUGUGUUACAUAUUGUGUUUUACAUAUUGUGUGUGUUAUCAAAUAUUAUUCGUUUCUUCUUAUUUUUCCUUAACCAUGUAAAACUCUAAAAACCAUUACUGGAUGGAUCCCAGGAUGUUUAAAAACAGGCUAC